AUCAACAUCUGCCAGUGGCAAAUUUUUUCAGAUCUGUAUAGAGUUAAUGUCGAAAUCAAAGUUAUUUUGGUUAAUUUUUUUACCUUUAGCUUUGUCACCAUCUGCUAUGGUUGUCCAAUCAACUCAGCCUUCCACUGUUUUAGUUUUAGUUCCAUCUACAUCUGAAACAGUUGUUUCAUCAACAUCUACC
rnacentral:lncRNA from 1 species